GUAGAAACAAGAAUUUGUCCACUGGCUCUAUCUGAAUGCCAACUAAUGGGCACAAGGUUCUUGUGAGAACGAAAAUACUACAAAUAUGAGUGAUGGUUCCUAAGGCGUGAGCCUCUGUCAGUAUUAUGAGUAUACAGCAUAAGCUUCAACCUUGGCAGGAGACAAAUUAGUGGCCACCUAUGAGGUACAACAUAAAAAAUUCCAGAUAAGUUCCUGUUUCUUAGUGAUUCUCCCUCCAUUCUCCAAUACCCUCCACAGUUCAUUAUUAGAGCUUCAUUUAGUCAAGCUUUGGAGGGUUUUUGGUCUUCAAAUGCCCCUUAUUUAAACCUGUGAGCCCUUAAAUCGCUUCCAUCUCAUACCUUAGUGAGUUUAGCUGAAGGUGAAGAGGAGCAGAAUCAUACAGAAUAGAAGUCAAGAGGGGAAGGGAAGAGUGGAGGGCCUUGGAGGUUCAUGAGAGGGUCAAAGAGGGGACCAGGAGGACUGAAAACAAAGUCCACACUCAGCCUAGUUUUGCUUUAGCCAGACCUUGUUAAUAUAUGUUGCUUGGCUGUCAUUCUUUUUGUAUCCAGCAGCUUACAAUUAGCCUUGAUGGCUGAUGAAGCAAAAGUGAAAAGAACAUGUGAUUUUUUUUUUUUAACUUUUAAAUGUUAUCUCUGGACCUGUCUCAGCCCACACAGAGGUCAGAGAGGAAGGUGGGGGCUGCUGGCAAGAGGGGGACCUGCCUUGUGGUUUGAGCCCAAAGCCGAUGGGGCUUCCCACCAGCAGCCCUAGCUUGGCAGCAUGGCACUGGAGGCAUGCCUCUUUGGAAACGUAUCGGAGCCCUGCCUAACUGUGUCUGCUCCUCCUCAACAUGCUUCCUUUUCCAUCUACAGUAUUUAGAAAGAUGAGAGACAACGCUGCGAAGAACACAAAGGCUUUUGCAAUUCCGUCUCUGGCUUCACAUUCAAAGCUGUUGCUAUCAGGGUUGGAUUUAGCAACUUGGCAUUCACUUCACAGGACCACCCCUGUUGGCGGCCAUCUGGAGUCUUUUGGAGAAUUUUUAAAGAGACAGUGCUUAGAGAGCAUUUGGUAGUGGAGAAAGCUCUAGUAUUCAAUCCAGGAAGCCUGGUCUGCGCCCACGAUGAGUAGCUAAGUGACCUUGGGCAAUCCACUGCACUUCCUUGAACCUCUGUCUCUUCAUCAGUUCAGUGAUUUGUCAAUUUCUUGCAAGAUUUAAUAGUCUAGGGCAAAGGUCCCCAAAGUGUGGUCUCUGGAGGUGCAGCAGUCAGUAUCUAGCAGAGCCUAGUAGAAGGCACAUUCUCAGCCCCCACCCAGGCCUCCUGAAUCAAAAAUCCUGGGAGGAGGGCCCAGCAAUCUCUGUUUAAGAAACAGUCCAGGGGAUUCUGACACACAGCCAAAUUGGAGAACCACUGCUGUAGGGCUCCUUGUUCCCCUUCUGCUGUUGCCAGUGUGCCUGGGCAACACUGAUUUGCUGUUGGUCAAAAGUUUCUGACUGGUGGCCCAAGGAAGCACUCACUUGCAAAAGAUGGCUGAGCCCACAGCUGGAGAGGCCCAAAUCAGAGAGGCAGGGAACCUGGAGGAAAGCCCUGCCUCACUUCCCCAGCCCCUCCCACUGCCAAAGUUUCAGAAAACUUGGAGGCUUGUCUAUUGAACAGGUAUCUUUUGGGUCAUGUUCUGAACGCAGCACAUUUUUACAACGUCAAAAGAAGCAAGAGCAAAAGGGGUUUUGUUAAUGAUGCCAACUUCUGUUCUGACUAUUUUUGUCUCUAGUCCCCAUAGAUACAUGUCAUUUAGUGCUGGGCAAGGAAAAUUACUUCUUCAUUUCGGCUUUUUGUUUUUCCCCCUACUUUUUCUGACAGCUCUUGGCUUCCUCUAAGUUAUCAGGAACAACUUGCAAGUGUUGUUCUGGGUUCCACCAGGGAACUGGGGUUUCCUAGCAACAGCCAGGGCCUGCUGGGCCAUUCUCUGAGUCACCAGCUCCAGGCAGCUCCUGAUAAGCAGUGCGAGGUGCAGAGGAACCCUCUGUGGACCCCACAUGGGAGCCUGCCUCACAGGGUGAUGGGAUCUAUAAAGAAUAGACCAUAGAUAGGACCUAAAGAAUGACAUAAAUAGAGGGCUCUUCAUUCUAAACUAAAUGGAUCUUGCUUUCUGACUGUUCCAUGCAUAUGGAAGAGGGAAAAGGAAGGAGGAAGGGAGCUCUACAUCAUACCAUGGUCCCUACAGAUGGUCAGCUGACUUUCCACUGGGUUUGGCCAAUAGAAGAAAUCUGCGUGAGGAUCUCCGCCCAUGGCAAAGGUCAUGAGGAAGGAGGCUCGGCAUAUGCAAAGGCAGGAUUGAGCCUCAGGAGUCCCCCUGGAAUUUCUCGAGCAUCUACCCCCAAAACCAGAGUCUGCCUACUUUACUGCUUUGUGCUCUCACCUACACCUCUGACUUUACGGGGGGCUGUCCCCCACCACCAUCUCUCUCCUGAAUAGGUUCUUCCGGCCACAUGUGAUUGUUCAGAGCCUCCCAAAUGUGAAAGGCAUAAGAUGUUCUAAACUGUCUAAAUACAGAUUCCUUUGAGCAGUUAAAAGAUUGAUUAGAAAUUGUAUUAGUGAAGGGUUUUUCACUUGUUGGGCCAAUGUUUGCUGCUAAGUUUCCAUAUCCCUUACCUGCUGUGUCCCUGGCAGUGUAUUGAUUAAUAUAAUUGGUGUAAGUAGUAGCUUUAAUGUUUGUAACCUUGGACCCUUGUGUUAAUUCUUUUUCUUGUUAUAGCCCACCACACCUUUGCCCUAUAGGAAUGCAACUUUAUCUAAUGCUUUUGGAGGGUGGCCCCUGACUAAUCACCUUGAGAGAAAAGUAAGUUUUCUGAAGAAAGGGUCUUAAAAUGUUAACAGGCCUCCGGGCCAGAAGAUGAUGCAAAUCACCUAAACUUUUGCAUAUGAUAAGUUUGCAGGAAGAAAGCCUGGCUUACUGCAUGACUCUACCCCUUCCCCCAUUAUCCUCUAUGCAUAACUUAAGGUAUAAAAACUCCUUUGGAAAAUAA
ensembl:lncRNA